CGAAUAGGUGGCUAGGGUUCCGAUCCGCUGACGGCGGGUGUCUGGUCCGAGAGCUGCCGACCUGAUCCGCCGAUCCGUCCGAACACCUUUCCGAGCCGGCUCGAUCCGGUCUUCGAUAAGGUCCAGGGCGCAUCGGCCGGGGCAGGUUACACGGCGGGAUAAAAGCCCGGGAGAU
rfam:Thiocapsa sp. KS1 genome assembly, scaffold: THKS1_scaffold1